rnacentral:rRNA from 1 species
GGAAUUUUCCGCAAUGGGGGAAACCCUGACGCAGCAACGCCGCGUGGGUGAGGAAGGCCUUCGGGUUGUAAAGCCCUUUCAGCAGGGAAGAAACAAAUGACGGUACCUGUAGAAGAAGCACCGGCUAACUCCGUGCCAGCAGCCGCGGUAAUACGGAGGGUGCGAGCGUUACUCGGAUUUACUGGGCGUAAAGGGCGCGUAGGCGAUUGAGCAAGUCUUCUGUGAAAGCCCAGGGCUUGACUCUGGAAGGGCAGGAGAUACUGCAUGAUUUGAGUAUCGGAGAGGAAGGCGGAAUUCCCGGUGUAGCGGUGAAAUGCGUAGAGAUUGGAAAGAACACCGAUGGCGAAGGCACUUUACUGGGCUAUUACUAACACUCAGAGACGAAAGCUAGGGUAGCAAAUGGGAUUAGAUACCCCAGUAGUC